UACGGAGGAUGCAAGCGUUAUCCGGAAUGAUUGGGCGUAAAGCGUCCGCAAGUGGCAAUGUAAGUCUGCUGUCAAAGCGUCUGGCUCAACCAGAUAAAGGCAGUGGAAACUACAUAGCUAGAGUAAGGUAGGGGUAGAGGGAAUUCCUGGUGUAGCGGUGAAAUGCGUAGAGAUCAGGAAGAACACCGGUGGCGAAAGCGCUCUGCUGGACCUUAACUGACACUGAGGCGCGAAAGCGUGGGGAGCGAUCCGG
rnacentral:rRNA from 1 species